AUUUAUUCAAAGUGGUUAAUUUGUCGUAAAUUCAAUUUUUCCUUGAUGAUUAAUUUAGCUAAUUAAGAUUUAUGCCAUGAAAAUUGGUAAAAGUUUUAAAUUAUUCAUAAUUAAUUUCUGUAAUUUUUUCUAAAGGUUGAAUAUUAAUUUCUUGAACAUUUUAUGAAAUAUAUACUCAUAAUAACAGUGUAGAUGGUCCGGUUCGAAAAAGUCAAAUAAUCAACAAAGAUUUUGAGUUUGAAGAAUUGUCAGUCUAAUUAAUUAGUUCGGUUGAGGAAUACCAGGAUUCGUGCUUAGCCUAAACUCAUGGCAAUCUGCAUGCGAAGGAAAGUUUUUACCUACACCAAGCUGUACAAACAUUUAACUAAUAAAAAAAUCACAUUCAUAUAUUUUUAAAUGGAACCACCAUGAUUUCAGCUAAAAUAGCAACCCAAAAUUGACUGAGUGUAUAGCUCGCAUGCAAAAGACAAAGUGAUUAGUUUCAUGGGUCUUCCCAAUGGGGGUGUGCACAGUCCCAUUUAAUAUGAUUUAGAGUAAUUCUCAAAUCAAAUUAGAAUUUUUGAUUUGGUACUUGUUUCAAAUCAAACCAUUUAUGACAGCCAAACCAUAAAUCAAACUGCAAUCAUCCAUUACAAUUUAUAAAGUACUAUAAAUAAAAAUAAGCAUAUAAUAACACACAAGGCAUUAACCUAAACAAAACAGAAACAUAAUUUCAGAUGAAUAUAACAUUUUACAAAUAUGUUUAUAUUUUAUGUUUCUUUGAGCACUCUGAAAAUUCGAAUGAUUUUGAUUUUUGUAUUUAUAAAAACAAAAUAACUGUCUAUUUGAGAAAUCAAAUUCUAAUUUGCUAUGGAAUCAAACACUGGAGGGGGGAAAAACAAUUCUGUUGGAUUGCAAUUACGUUUCGCAAAUUAGAAUCAAACGGACCCCGAAAGAGGGAAAAUGCUUUCAUUUCUACGUUUGGAAAGACAAUGAACGUGAGACUCUUGUUUUGUAACAGUGGAAAAUUUCCCCAAAACCCAUCAAUUAGCUAGCUUCGUCUCAUUAUAGUGGAGUGUAAGGUGCUGAUUUAGUAUUAAUCAAAGCCAAUUGUAUUAAAAAUAAAAAAUUUGAUGCUUUCUCAUGAGUCACAAACAGAGAUAGCAAGAAUAUUAAGCAAUAAAAUUAUAAAUUAAAGGUUACCUGGAGCUGGAGCCAUUCAAAACCUCCCCUGAGAUACUGGCUGCUCUGGUCAAGGCAAUUCUCCAAUUGCGCACCCUGGAAUCCGUCAAAACCUUCAGAUCUUGCUUUUGCUUGUGCUUGGCGAUGGACUCUCCAAAACUUCCUGUUUGGUUGUCAACAUCUGCGGGAUCAAUGUGGUAGAAAACAGUAAUAACCUUUUGUCCAUAUUUGUCUUUGCAUUCAAAGAUCUUCAGAAGUUCAUCCAAGCAAUAGGAUGAAGAUGCGUAGUCUUUUGAGAAAAUAAUUACUGAAAUACGAGAGUCUUCAAUUGCUCUCAAGAUUGCUGGUUCGAUCUCUUCUCCUCUUUCAAGUCUAUCAUCUAUGAAGGUCGGAAUUCCAAAUCGACGCAAAGUACCGUAAAGAUGGCUAGUAAAAUUGGAACGAGUAUCUGGACCUCUAAAACUAAGGAAUACUUCAUACUUUAUUGGCCUGACAGAAGAAGCAGAAGAAGAAGACAUACUGGUUGCUUUGUCUUUGUGGUUCUGCUAACUUCUAACAGAAGACUUUCAAAGAAGAAGAGCGCGUUUGUAAAUAGUCAUAAUGGCUUGUUU
rnacentral:misc_RNA from 1 species